UUAAUAGUAUUUAAGUUACAGGCUGAUUUAAUGUGUUGUCAUAUUUCGCGUUUUCAGCUCGAGAAAAGCACAAUUCUCUAUCAGCGUUCAUCGGCGUGCAGCGACCACGUAGUAUGUCGGGGAUUAUCGCAGCAGCUAAGAUCUCGCGAGAAGCACAAUUCUCUAUCAGCGUUCAUCGGCGUGCAGCGACCACGUAGUAUGUCAGGGAUUAUCGCAGCAGCUAAGAUGUGUCUGAAUACACACGACGCAAUUUAUUCACAGACAAACUUGAGACACUUACAGUGAAUCCCUGUGUGAAAUGAUGGCGUCUGCCAACUGAACAAAGUGAACAAUGAGCAGUUCAAAUUUUUCUUGGAGAAAAACCUUGAAAAUGCAAAUCGUUAUACUGUCGUUAUAAAUGCUGUCAAGAAAUGAGAAUGAAGAAAGACUUGUUUGUUUUUCAUGUGCAAAUGACAAGUGUCAGGCGAGUGACUUCAUACAAAGAGUAAUGAG